rnacentral:sRNA from 1 species
AGGCUUGAUUCGGCUGACCUGGCUGGCUAGGGGCGUGUCCCCUUCCUCCCUCAACAAUGCAUGUGUCCCUCCCGAAGCUGUGCGCUCAGUCGAAGAGGACAACCACCCCCACAGAGGAGGACCUUUCCUUGGUUAAGGGUAUACGCAUACCUGCGCUCCCCCACUAGAACCUCCGAACAAGCUCUCUCUUAGAUAGAUUUUGAUGAACAUUUUAAACAAUAACACCU